UCUUUCAUUCAAAAGUGCUCUGGGCUGCCAGCGCCCUGGUCUUUGAUAGUAUAGGGAGAGGAACCGCUGAAAGCAUUUCCCCAUGUUGGAAGAGCUCAUCCUGUCCUUUCCAACUCUGGAGCUUUCAUACA